rnacentral:rRNA from 1 species
AGAACGAACGCUGGCGGCAUGCCUAACACAUGCAAGUCGAACGGGAUCCUGGCUUCGGCCAGGUGAGAGUGGCGGACGGGUGAGUAACGCGUGGGAACCUGCCCAGUGGUGGGGGAUAACUGCGGGAAACUGCAGCUAAUACCGCAUGAGCCCCGAGUGUAAGAGCUUGGGGGAAAGAUUUAUCGCCAUUGGAGGGGCCCGCGUUCGAUUAGGUAGUUGGUGAGGUAACGGCUCACCAAGCCUGCGAUCGAUAGCUGGUCUGAGAGGAUGAUCAGCCACACUGGGACUGAGAUACGGCCCAGACUCCUACGGGAGGCAGCAGUGGGGAAUAUUGGACAAUGGGGGCAACCCUGAUCCAGCAAUGCCGCGUGAGUGAUGAAGGCCUUCGGGUUGUAAAGCUCUUUUGGCGGGGACGAUGAUGACGGUACCCGCAGAAUAAGCCCCGGCUAACUUCGUGCCAGCAGCCGCGGUAAUACGAAGGGGGCAAGCGUUGUUCGGAAUUACUGGGCGUAAAGGGCGCGUAGGCGGCUGUGCAAGUCAGGUGUGAAAGGCCCGGGCUCAACCCGGGGACGGCGCUUGAGACUGCACGGCUUGGAGUCCGGGAGAGGAUGGUGGAAUUCCCAGUGUAGAGGUGAAAUUCGUAGAUAUUGGGAAGAACACCGGUGGCGAAGGCGGCCAUCUGGACCGGUACUGACGCUGAGGCGCGAAAGCGUGGGGAGCAAACAGGAUUAGAUACCCUGGUAGUCCACGCUGUAAACGUUGGGCACUUGGUGUUGCGGGUAUCGACCCCUGCAGUGCCGAAGCUAACGCAUUAAGUGCCC